rnacentral:rRNA from 1 species
CCUACGGGAGGCAGCAGUAAGGAAUAUUGGUCAAUGGGCGCAAGCCUGAACCAGCCAUGCCGCGUGCAGGAAGACGGCCCUAUGGGUUGUAAACUGCUUUUGAACAAGAGAAAACCUCGGUACGUGUACCGAGCUGAUAGUAUUGUUAGAAUAAGCAUCGGCUAACUUCGUGCCAGCAGCCGCGGUAAGACGAAGGAUGCAAGCGUUAUCCGGAUUCAUUGGGUUUAAAGGGUGCGUAGGCGGCCUGAUAAGUCAGUGGUGAAAUCUCUCAGCUUAACUGAGAAACUGCCAUUGAUACUGUCGGGCUUGAGUACAGAUGAUGUGGGCGGAAUAUGACAUGUAGUGGUGAAAUACUUAGAUAUGUCAUAGAACACCGAUUGCGAAGGCAGCUCACAAAACUGUAACUGACGCUGAGGCACGAAAGUGCGGGGAUCAAACAGGAUUAGAUACCCUGGUAGUCCGCACCGUAAACGAUGAUUACUCGUUGUUGGCAAUAUGACCGUCAGCGACCAAGCGAAAGCGAUAAGAAUCCACCUGGGGAGUACGCCGGCAACGGUGAAACGUCAAAUGAAUUGACGG